AUGUUGGGUAUUGAGUCCAUCAGCCACCAUGCCGUUCCAAGAAUUUUACCUUCCGUGGAAGAGGAGGACAUGGACGAUCGUCGCAGUAAGGGAUGCAAAACCAACACCAUACGUGACUGCAAAGAAGGUGCUGAGGUACAGUGGACCAUUCUUUUCAUAGGCCUUCGUGUCAAAAUGGAACUGGGAGUCCACGAUGCUCGUGAUGUUGUACUUCUGCCCAGUCUCGGUGAAGAGCCCAUCCGAGAAGAUGGGGAAGUUCCGCGCCUUGUAGAAGUUGAACCAGUACGCGAUGGGCGUGAUCACGUACAUGAUGAUGAAGAAUCCUGCGGCGACAUUGGCGGUGGCGAACCAGGGGCUGGCGAGGGGGCUCCCGAGGUAGGAGGAGACGGAGGCCCAGUCAAGGCCGAUGGAGCCGAUGCCGAGACCGUAGAGGCCCGAGCCGAGCUGCUGGGCAAACACGGAGUUGGGGAAGACCCAACAGAUCCAGGAGAGGGAGGUGAGCAUCUGGAACAGGUAGCCCGGGAAGAUGUAGUAGACGAAGCUGCAGACGAAGGCCACCAGGAAGAACUGGCUGCGCGUGAAGCCGCCUUUGCUCCGCACUUCCUUCUCGUGGAGCGCCCUGGUUGGAAUUUCCAGGAGUGGUUUCAGAGAAUGGUUCGAAUCCGAAUCCGCAGCUCGCCGCCUUUCCCUGAGAGAGACAAAUGGAAUGGAAUUUCUCUCCGUUUUGUACAUGCUAUCUUACGGAAGAGAAAGACAUUUGUGCAUGAUCAUUCCUUUCCUGCCAUCCUGCGGUGCAUGUCGAUUAGCUCAGUGUCUUUCCCCUUGGGACUGACACAGGAGAUGAAAUUCCUCUCCUAUUUUGUUUGUACUACUCCCUCCGUCCCAAAAUAA
rnacentral:rRNA from 1 species